rnacentral:rRNA from 1 species
CAAAUGACUUUUGGCAACGGAUAUUUUGGCUUUUGCAUUGAUUAAAAACGUAACGAAAUGCCAUACUUGGUGUGAAUUGGAAAAUCCCGUGAACCAUUCAAUCUUUGAACGCAAGGUGCGCCUGAAGCCAUUAAGUUGAGGGCACGUCUGGCUUGGUGGAAAA